rnacentral:sRNA from 1 species
GCCAGGUGUGGUGGCUCAUGCCUGUAAUCCCAGCGGCUUAGAAGGCUGAGGCAGGAGGAUCUCGAGUUCAAAGCCACCCUCAGCAAAAGCGAGGCACUAAGCAACUCAGUGAGACCCUGUCUCUA